UCAAGAAACUUCCACAAUGGGCGAAAGCCUGAUGGAGCGACGUCGCGUGAUGGACGAAGUGCUUCGGCACGUAAACAUCUUUUAUGUGGGAUGAAAUUAUUGACAGUACCACAUGAAUAAGGGGCUCCUAACUCUGUGCCAGCAGCCGCGGUAAUACAGAGGGUGCAAGCGUUGUUCGGAUUUACUGGGCGUAAAGCGUGCGUAGGCGGUAUUGAGAGUCGCAGGUGAAAUCCCAGGGCUUAACCCUGGAACUGCCCGCGAGACCUCAGUACUAGAGUGUGAGAGGGGAUAGUGGAAUACCCAGUGUAGCGGUGAAAUGCGUAGAGAUUGGGUGGAACACCGGUGGCGAAGGCGGCUAUCUGGCUCACAACUGACGCUCAGGCACGAAAGCAUGGGGAGCAAACAGGAUUAGAUACCCUUGUAGUCCCUGAGCGGGCUGGCAAGGCGCAU
rnacentral:rRNA from 1 species